rnacentral:rRNA from 1 species
CCUACGGGAGUCAGCAGUGAGGAAUAUUGGUCAAUGGGCGUAAGCCUGAACCAGCCAAGUCGCGUGAGGGAUGAAGGUUCUAUGGAUCGUAAACCUCUUUUAUAAGGGAAUAUAGUGCGGGACGUGUCCCGUUUUGUAUGUACCUUAUGACUAAGGAUCGACUAACUCCGUGCCAGCAGCCGCGGUAAUACAGAAGAUACGAGCGUUCUCCGGAUUUAUUGGGUUUAAAGGGUGCUUAGGCGGCUUUUUAAGUCAGCGGUGAAAGUCUGUGGCUCAACCAUAGAAUUGCCGUUGAAACUGGGAGGCUUGAGUAGGUUUGAGGCAGGAGGAAUGCGUGGUGUAGCGGUGAAAGGCUUAGAUAUCACGAAGAACCCCGAUUGCGAAGGCAGCCUGCCAAGCCAUGACUGACGCUGAUGCACGAAAGCGUGGGGAUCAAACAGGAUUAGAUACCCGUGUAGUC